AGAUCAUGGUGUGGGCAAUUUCGUAGCAGACUUUUGUACCUCUCCCAUGCUUCAUAUAAAGAUUCUCCAGCUUGCUGUUCAAAGUUUGCAAUGGCCUUCUUGAGUUU